CCUACGGGGGGCUGCAGUGGGGAAUAUUGGACAAUGGGCGAAAGCCUGAUCCAGCCAUGCCGCGUGUGUGAAGAAGGCCUUCGGGUUGUAAAGCACUUUCAGUGGGGAAGAAAGCCUUGGGGCUAAUACCCUCGAGGAAGGACAUCACCCACAGAAGAAGCACCGGCUAACUCCGUGCCAGCAGCCGCGGUAAUACGGAGGGUGCGAGCGUUAAUCGGAAUUACUGGGCGUAAAGCGCGCGUAGGCGGUCUGAUAAGCCGGUUGUGAAAGCCCCGGGCUCAACCUGGGAACGGCAUCCGGAACUGUCAGGCUAGAGUGCAGGAGAGGAAGGUAGAAUUCCCGGUGUAGCGGUGAAAUGCGUAGAGAUCGGGAGGAAUACCAGUGGCGAAGGCGGCCUUCUGGACUUACACUGACGCUGAGGUGCGAAAGCGUGGGUAGCAAACAGGAUUAGAUACCCCAGUAGUC
rnacentral:rRNA from 1 species